rnacentral:rRNA from 1 species
UGGGGAAUAUUGCACAAUGGGCGCAAGCCUGAUGCAGCCAUGCCGCGUGUAUGAAGAAGGCCUUCGGGUUGUAAGGUACUUUCAGCGGGGAGGAAGGCGACAGGGUUAAUAACCCUGUCGAUUGACGUUACCCGCAGAAGAAGCACCGGCUAACUCCGUGCCAGCAGCCGCGGUAAUACGGAGGGUGCAAGCGUUAAUCGGAAUUACUGGGCGUAAAGCGCACGCAGGCGGUCUGUCAAGUCGGAUGCGAAAUCCCCGGGCUCAACCUGGGAACUGCAUCCAAAACUGGCAAGCCAGAGUACGGUAGAGGGUGGUGGAAUUUCCUGUGUAGCGGUGAAAUGCGUAGAGAUCUGGAGGAAUACCGGUGGCGAAGGCGGCCCCCUGGACAAAGACUGACGCUCAGGUGCGAAAGCGUGGGGAGCAAACAGG